GACGAACGCUGGCGGCGUGCUUAACACAUGCAAGUCGUACGGUAAGGCCCUUUCGGGGGUACACGAGUGGCGAACGGGUGAGUAACACGUGAGUAACCUGCCCACAACUUUGGGAUAACGCUAGGAAACUGGUGCUAAUACUGGAUAUGUGCUCCUGCUGCAUGGUGGGGGUUGGAAAGCUCCGGCGGUUGUGGAUGGACUCGCGGCCUAUCAGCUUGUUGGUGGGGUAGUGGCCUACCAAGGCGGCGACGGGUAGCCGGCCUGGGAGGGUGACCGGCCACAUUGGGACUGAGAUACGGCCCAGACUCCUACGGGAGGCAACAGUGGGGAAUAUUGCACAAUGGGCGCAAGCCUGAUGCAGCAACGCCGCGUGCGGGAUGACGGCCUUCGGGUUGUAAACCGCUUUCAGCAGGGACGAAGCUUUUUGUGACGGUACCUGCAGAAGAAGCACCGGCUAACUACGUG
rnacentral:rRNA from 1 species